AUCCUGGCUCAGGACGAACGCUGGCGGCGUGCCUAAUACAUGCAAGUCGAGCGGACAGAAGGGAGCUUGCUCCCGGAUGUUAGCGGCGGACGGGUGAGUAACACGUGGGUAACCUGCCUGUAAGACUGGGAUAACUCCGGGAAACCGGAGCUAAUACCGGAUAGUUCCUUGAACCGCAUGGUUCAAGGAUGAAAGACGGUUUCGGCUGUCACUUACAGAUGGACCCGCGGCGCAUUAGCUAGUUGGUGAGGUAACGGCUCACCAAGGCGACGAUGCGUAGCCGACCUGAGAGGGUGAUCGGCCACACUGGGACUGAGACACGGCCCAGACUCCUACGGGAGGCAGCAGUAGGGAAUCUUCCGCAAUGGACGAAAGUCUGACGGAGCAACGCCGCGUGAGUGAUGAAGGUUUUCGGAUCGUAAAGCUCUGUUGUUAGGGAAGAACAGAGAUUCAAGAGUAACUGCUUGCACCUUGACG
rnacentral:rRNA from 1 species